rnacentral:rRNA from 1 species
CCUUACCUACCCUUGACAUGUCUGGAAGGCCGAAGAGAUUUGGCUGUGCUCGCAAGAGAACCGGAACACAGGUGCUGCAUGGCUGUCGUCAGCUCGUGUCGUGAGAUGUUGGGUUAAGUUCCGCAACGAGCGCAACCCUUGUCAUUAGUUGCUACGAAAGGGCACUCUAAUGAGACUGCCGGUGACAAACCGGAGGAAGGUGGGGAUGACGUCAAGUCCUCAUGGCCCUUAUGGGUAGGGCUUCACACGUCAUACAAUGGUCGGGACAGAGGGUCGCCAACCCGCGAGGGGGAGCCAAUCCCAGAAACCCGAUCGUAGUCCGGAUCGCAGUCUGCAACUCGACUGCGUGAAGUCGGAAUCGCUAGUAAUCGCGGAUCAGCAUGUCGCGGUGAAUACGUUCCCGGGUCUUGUACACACCGCCCGUCACACCAUGGGAGUGGGUUUUACCAGAAGUAGUUAGCCUAACCGCAAGGAGGGCGAUUACCACGGUAGGAUUCAUGACUGGGGUGAAGUCGUAACAAGGUAGGCGUAGUGCU